UACGAAGGGGGCGAGCGUUGUUCGGAUUUACUGGGCGUAAAGGGCGCGUAGGCGGUCAGCACAAGUCAGUUGUGAAAUCUCCGGGCUUAACUCGGAAAGGUCAACUGAUACUGUGCGACUAGAGUGCGGAAGGGGCAACUGGAAUUCUCGGUGUAGCGGUGAAAUGCGUAGAUAUCGAGAGGAACACCUGCGGCGAAGGCGGGUUGCUGGGCCGACACUGACGCUGAUGCGCGAAAGCCAGGGGAGCGAACGGG
rnacentral:rRNA from 1 species